GGAUAGCUCAGUCGGUAGAGCAGAGGACUGAAAAUCCUCGUGUCGGUGGUUCGAUUCCGCCUCCG
rnacentral:tRNA from 1 species